AGUGAACGCUGGCGGAAGGCCUAACACAUGCAAGUCGAACGGCAGCACAGUAAGAGCUUGCUCUUACGGGUGGCGAGUGGCGGACGGGUGAGGAAUACAUCGGAAUCUACUUUUUCGUGGGGGAUAACGUAGGGAAACUUACGCUAAUACCGCAUACGACCUACGGGUGAAAGCAGGGGAUCUUCGGACCUUGCGCGAUUGAAUGAGCCGAUGUCGGAUUAGCUAGUUGGCGGGGUAAAGGCCCACCAAGGCGACGAUCCGUAGCUGGUCUGAGAGGAUGAUCAGCCACACUGGAACUGAGACACGGUCCAGACUCCUAUGGGAGGCAGCAGUGGGGAAUAUUGGACAAUGGGCGCAAGCCUGAUCCAGCCAUACCGCGUGGGUGAAGAAGGCCUUCGGGUUGUAAAGCCCUUUUGUUGGGAAAGAAAAGCAGCAGGUUAAUACCCCGCUGUUCUGACGGUACCCAAAGAAUAAGCACCGGCUAACUUCGUG
rnacentral:rRNA from 1 species